rnacentral:misc_RNA from 1 species
GAUGAAGAACGUAGCGAAAUGCGAUAAGUAAUGUGAAUUGCGGAAUUCAGUGAAUCAUCGAAUCUUUGAACGCACAUUGCGCCCGCUAGUAUUCUGGCGGGCAUGCCUGUUCGAGCGUCAUUUCAACCAUCAAGCCCCAGGCUUGUGUUGGGGGCCUGCGGCUGCCGCAGCCCCUGAAAAGCAGUGGCGGGCUCGCUGUCAUUCCGAGCGCAGUAGUUACAUCUCGCUCCGGGCGUGGCGGUGGGCACCUGCCGUGAAACACUCCUUCUAAGGUUGACCUCGGAUCAGGUAGGAAUACCCGCUGAACUUAAGCAUAUCAAUAAGCGGAGGA